AGAGCGAACGCUGGCGGCGUGCUUAACACAUGCAAGUCGAACGCGCAGCAUUCUGUAGCAAUACAGGGUGUGGGCGCGUGGCGAACGGGUGCGUAACACGUGGAUAACCUUCCUUCAGGUGGGGAAUAACCCAGUGAAAAUUGGGCUAAUACCGCAUAACAAAACGAUGAGACAUCUUGUUGUUUUCAAAGGCGCAAGUCGCCAGAAGAGGGAUCCGCGGCCGAUUAGCUUGUUGGCGGGGUAAUGGCCCACCAAGGCAAUGAUCGGUA
rnacentral:rRNA from 1 species